rnacentral:rRNA from 1 species
GAUGAACGCUGGCGGCGUGCCUAAUACAUGCAAGUCGAGCGAACGGACGAGAAGCUUGCUUCUCUGAUGUUAGCGGCGGACGGGAGAGUAACACGUGGAUAACCUACCUAUAAGACUGGGAUAACUUCGGAAAACCGUAGCUAAUACCGGAUAAUAUUUUGCACCGCAUGGUUCAAAAGUGAAAGACGGUCUUGCUGUCACUUAUAGCUGGAUCCGCGCUGCAUUAGCUAGUUGGUAAGGUAACGGCUUACCAAGGCAACGAUGCAUAGCCGACCUGAGAGGGUGAUCGGCCACACUGGAACUGAGACACGGUCCAGACUCCUACGGGAGGCAGCAGUAGGGAAUCUUCCGCAAUGGGCGAAAGCCUGACGGAGCAACGCCGCGUGAGUGAUGAAGGUCUUCGGAUCGUAAAACUCUGUUAUUAGGGAAGAACAUAUGUGUAAGUAACUGUGCACAUCUUGACGGUACCUAAUCAGAAAGCCACGGCUAACUACGUG